UUGGGUUAAGUCCCGCAACGAGCGCAACCCUUGAUCUUAGUUGCCACCAAUUCGGUUGGGCACUCUAAGGUGACUGCCGGUGACAAACCGGAGGAAGGUGGGGAUGACGUCAAAUCAUCAUGCCCCUUAUGACCUGGGCUACACACGUACUACAAUGGUUGGUACAACGGGAAGCGAAAGAGCGAUCUGGAGCGAAUCCUAUAAAAGCCAAUCUCAGUUCGGAUUGCAGGCUGCAACUCGCCUGCAUGAAGUCGGAAUUGCUAGUAAUCGCGGAUCAGCAUGCCGCGGUGAAUACGUUCCCGGGUCUUGUACACACCGCCCGUCACACCACGAGAGUUUACAACACCCGAAGUCGGUGAGGUAACCGCAAGGAGCCAGCCGCCGAAGGUGGGGUAGAUGAUUGGGGUG
rnacentral:rRNA from 1 species